rnacentral:rRNA from 1 species
ACGAACGCUGGCGGCGUGCUUAACACAUGCAAGUCGCACGGAAAGGCCCUGCUUUUGUGGGGUGCUCGAGUGGCGAACGGGGGAGUAACACGUGAGUAACCUGCCCUUGACUUUGGGAUAACUUCAGGAAACUGGGGCUAAUACCGGAUAGGAGCUCCUGCUGCAUGGUGGGGGGUGGAAAGUUUCGGCGGUUGGGGAUGGACUCGCGGCUUAUCAGCUUGUUGGUGGGGUAGUGGCUUACCAAGGCUUUGACGGGUAGCCGGCCUGAGAGGGUGACCGGCCACAUUGGGACUGAGAUACGGCCCAGACUCCUACGGGAGGCAGCAGUGGGGAAUAUUGCACAAUGGGCGGAAGCCUGAUGCAGCAACGCCGCGUGCGGGAUGACGGCCUUCGGGUUGUAAACCGCUUUCGCCUGUGACGAAGCGUGAGUGACGGUAAUGGGUAAAGAAGCACCGGCUAACUACGUG